rnacentral:misc_RNA from 1 species
CUGAAUCAUCAAAUUUUUGAACGCAAAUUGCACUCUCCUCUGAGAGUAUGCCUGUUUGAGGGUCAGCCUAUAAAAAAUCGACAUCGUUGCCGUUUCGCGGUUACAUUCGUCAGAAAGUGGGUCAUCUUCAACCUUUUGUUUUUAAGCGGCUUAAAAUUUUCUUUACGAUUCUACUAACGUUUCUAAGAUUGACUUACACGUUUAAGGUAUCGGUC